rnacentral:rRNA from 1 species
UACGUAGGCAGCAGGCGUUGUUCGGAAUUACUGGGCGUAAAGAGUUCGUAGGCGGUGCGGCAAGUUCGGUGUGAAAUCUCCCGGCUCAACUGGGAGGGUGCGCUAAAUACUGCCGUGCUCGAGUAUAGGAGAGGUAAGCGGAAUUCCUGGUGUAGCGGUGAAAUGCGUAGAUAUCAGGAGGAACACCUGUGGUGUAGACGGCUUACUGGACUAUAACUGACGCUGAGGAACGAAAGCGUGGGUAGCAAACAGG